rnacentral:rRNA from 1 species
UACAGAGGUCCCAAGCGUUGUUCGGAUUCACUGGGCGUAAAGGGUGCGUAGGUGGUGAGGUAAGUCGGAUGUGAAAGCUCCGAGCUCAACUCGGAAAUGGCAUUGGAAACUACCUUGCUAGAGGGUUUGAGGGGGGACUGGAAUACUUGGUGUAGCAGUGAAAUGCGUAGAUAUCGGGAGGAACACCAAUGGCGAAGGCAGCUCGCUGGGACGGUACUGACGCUGAGACGCGAAAAGCGUGGGGGAGCAAACAGG